GAAGUACUCCCUCCGUCCGGAAAUACUUGUCAUCAAAAUGAAUAAAAGGGGAUGUAUCUAGAUAUAUUUUAGUUCUAGAUACAUCCCUUUUUGUCUAUUUGAAUGACAAGUUUUUUCGGACGGAGGGAGUACUAA
rfam:Triticum aestivum genome assembly, contig: Triticum_aestivum_CS42_TGACv1_scaffold_433246_5DL